AUUGAACGCUGGCGGCAGGCCUAACACAUGCAAGUCGAGCGGAGCGGCGGACGGGUGAGUAAUGCCUAGGAAUCUGCCUGGUAGUGGGGGAUAACGUCCGGAAACGGGCGCUAAUACCGCAUACUAUCAGAUGAGCCUAGGUCGGAUUAGCUAGUUGGGGGGGUAAAGGCCUACGAAGGCGACGAUCCGUAACUGGUCCGAGAGGAUGAUCAGUCACACAGGCAUGUAGAAACGGUCCAGACGCCUAGGGGAGGCAGCAUUGGUGCAUAUGGGACAAUGGGCGAAAGCCUGAUCCAUCCAUGCCGCGGGUGUGAAGAAGGUCUUCGGAUUGUAAAGCACUUUAAGUUCGGAGGCGUUACCAACAGAAUAAGCACCGGCUAACUUCGUGCCAGCAGCCGCGGUAAUUC
rnacentral:rRNA from 1 species